rnacentral:rRNA from 1 species
CUACGGGCGGCUGCAGUGGUGAAUAUUGGACAAUGGGGGAAACCCUGAUCCAGCAAUGCCGCGUGUGUGAAGAAGGCCUGCGGGUUGUAAAGCACUUUCGGUUGGGAGGACUGCUUCUAGCACUAAUAUUGUUGGAAGUUGACGUUACCUUCAGAAGAAGCACCGGCUAACUCCGUGCCAGCAGCCGCGGUAAUACGGGAGGGUGCAAGCGUUAAUCGGAAUUACUGGGCGUAAAGCGCGCGUAGGCGGCUAGAUCAGUCGGGUGUGAAAGCCCCGGGCUUAACCUGGGAACUGCAUCCGAUACUGUCUAGCUUGAGUACAGGAGAGGAGAGUGGAAUUCCACAUGUAGCGGUGAAAUGCGUAGAUAUGUGGAGGAACACCAAUGGCGAAGGCAGCUCUCUGGCCUGAUACUGACGCUGAGGUGCGAAAGCGUGGGGAGCAAACAGGAUUAGAUACCCCAGUAGUC